CGGAGUUGGAGACCCCUGCUUAAGGAUUAACAUAAGGAACAACGUCGUGUCAUUCCGCCUCUGCUCCUUUUUAUUCGCCGCCGCGGCGAUUCCUCGGUCUGUUCGGCGCUUCAAUAAGGAUGUGGUACCAGAAAUACUCAGAGGCGUGAUUCAAACCCAGACCCUGCAGGAUUGAGGUGACAUUGCAGCCAGCUGAGCCUGUAACACGUCCAGGCUGUAAUGCAGUGUUUGAAUUCAUCUUUUGGUUAAGCAUGACCAUCUAUUAACUUGAAGGAGCUAACUGCCUCUUUUGCAUGCAGGAACAGCAGAAGGACACCAUCAGGGAUGGCAGAAAGCACGAUGGCUUGCCAGGAGACCUUAUGCAGCCUCUGAAGGACAGACUAUGUCGAUAAUCAAUACUGCACAGAGAUCAGCCCUCUCCCCGAGCACAGCAAUUUCCUCUGGAAAUUUGUAGAUGUAUUGAUUGUACAACAUAAGAAAUUAGACUCCAGAAUUUCACUGAUCUCCCGCUUAAUUACCGACAGUUUAUCUCCUGUUUCUGACAACUGUUCCCAGACACCUUAAUCAGAGUCUACUGAGCCGUCACUCAUUUCAUGCCUAGUGCAAGAUUUGGACUUGGCACCUUCAGGCCAAUGAAAUGUCAUCCAGAGCAGGACCCCAAUUCACAGCCAUUGGUUAGGUCAGAUGAAAAUAGCGCAAAGGUUAGACUUUUGAUAGUUUCAUAAUGUUGAUUCAGAUAUAUGAUUUUGUAAUAUAUGCAAAUACUCCUUUUAAAUUUAUUUUUAAAACUGACCAGCUAUCUUUGUCCAAUUCAUUCCAAGUAAUUACUGGAUAAAUAAGA